GUGAAUUCACUUAGAUUGUUCUCUGCAUUUAGAAUAGGAUUCCUUACUCUAUCAGACAUGGAACUCUUACAUUUACUUUGUGCAUGACAAGGUUAAGUAAUCAACUUUCAAGGUAAGUAAUAAAGCAGGGAAGAUAAUUAACAGGCAAAGGAAUGGUUUUUUGUACUACAGCCUUAUGUAUAAGAGUGUUGAAAAAUGAAGCUAAUAAUGUCUAAGUCCCAUAUGUGACUUGAAAUAUCUGGCAAUUAAUUCACAGGCAUUAGAUAAUAACCACUACAGCCAGUUGACAGCAAGUUGAUAAAAGUCAGCGAGUGACCUCAUGCAAAUGGAACUUUGCUUAUUGGCAAGUAAAUCACCAUAUUGUUACCACUAUCAACAAAAAAAAUUGGAGAAUGUUGAUGAAACCAAAUUAAGUCCUACCUCUUGAGUAUCUCUACUGUUA
rnacentral:misc_RNA from 1 species